GCUGAACUUAAGCAUAUCAAUAAGCGGAGGAAAAGAAACUAACAAGGAUUCCCCUAGUAACUGCGAGUGAAGCGGGAAGAGCUCAAAUUUGUAAUCUGUCGUUCUUAGGCCGUCCGAGUUGUAGUCUGGAGAAGCGUUUUCCGUGCCGGACCGUGUACAAGUCCCUUGGAACAGGGCGUCAUAGAGGGUGAGAAUCCCGUCUCUGACACGGACUGCCGGUGCUAUGUGAUGCGCUCUCGAAGAGUCGAGUUGUUUGGGAAUGCAGCUCAAAAUGGGUGGUAAAUUCCAUCUAAAGCUAAAUACAGGCGAGAGACCGAUAGCGAACAAGUACCGUGAGGGAAAGAUGAAAAGCACUUUGGAAAGAGAGUUAAACAGUACGUGAAAUUGUUGAAAGGGAAACGCUUGAAGUCAGUCGCGUCUCACGGGAUUCAGCCUUUGCCAUCUGGCUAGGUGCAUUUCCCGGCGUAGACGGGCCAGCAUCAAUUCGGAUCGUCAGAGAAGGGUCGAGGGAACGUGGCACCCCUGAGGGGGUGUGUUAAUAGCCCUCGGUCAUAUGUGGCGGUCGGGAUUGAGGAUUGCAGCACGCCUUCAAUGGCCGGGGUUCGCCCACGUAACGUGCUUAGGAUGCUGGCGUAAUGGCUUCAAACGACCCGUCUUG
rnacentral:rRNA from 1 species